UGAAGCAAACAUUGAGAAGCUCAAGGAUAUCGAAAACUGUUGCCCAUGUUGGUUUAUCAUUGUUUUUCCUAUAAUGGUUUAACUUUCGGAGUGUGCUGGAAUUAAAAUUGUGUUCCCAAUUACAGUGACAUUGUCUGCUACUGUAAUGAAUGGAAUAUAAGUGUUCUUGAUGAUGUUGAGCUGGAUGGUCCGGAUACCAGAAGUUCAGAUGUUCUGCCGGAAGGUCUCAUACAUGAACUUCCUAGUGAAAACGAGUUUCAUGAGGCAACUCCUGACGCUCUAGAUGGUUCACUGUUCCAAUCACCCUCUGCUACUGCAAAAGCAUUCAUGAGUUUAUUUUUAUGUGUAUUGUGGUACUCUAUCUUUUGUAAAUCUUUAUUUUAGUGUGUAUUGUGUGUAUUGGCUUAAUUCUUGAUUGUUGGAAGAUCUGCAAGAAAAAAUUGUUCAAUGUUCUUAAUUUGUAUUGGACAGAUACUGCCUUGGUUCAGUAGGAACCGAGGCGAAAUAUAUAUAAAAAAGGAAAAAUUGUACUGCUU